rnacentral:ncRNA from 6 species
UGACCUCGGAUCAGGUAGGGAUACCCGCUGAACU